rnacentral:lncRNA from 1 species
AAGAGGCUGGAGGAGGCGGCUUCCCGAACUCCGAACUCUCCGUCGGAGGGGGAUGCCAGGAGUUUUCUUCAGAGAGAGGAUUUGCGAGAACGUCCUCAGAGGAAAGGAUGCCAGUCACGCUAGUCAGAGGGAUUCUGGGAACAGGUCCUCAGAGAGAGAUGCUGGGGACACCUGUCUGAGAGGAGCAUGCUCGGAUCACGUCAUCAGAAAGAAGAAUGCUGGAAACAUGAGUGCCCUGAACUCCACAGUGGAUCCCUUUCCAUGAUGAGAAAACUGAGGCACUGCCCAAGAUCAAAGAGCUUCACAGAUGAUGAGGUGAUGACAGUUUCUUCAAAAGGAAUGAGGCCCCAGAAUGCUGCUGAGAAGACCAGUGUUGAGAGAAGACCAGUGUUGAGACAAGAUACCCUGAAACCACUGCACUAAGAAAGGUUUUGUUCAAG